GUACGUAUUUACUUCACAUCAGGCAUACAAUGGUGGACAAAACAGCUGCCUUUCUUCCCCGUAUGGAGCUUACAGUAUAGUGAAUAUUUCAUGGGACUAGUAUCUACAGAAGGUGUUUUGGGAAGCACAGCUUUGGAGAGAGUAAUUUGCCAACAUUGCACAGAAUAAAGGCACCAUGAGGGCCCAAGGAAGGAAAAGAUUUGCAGCUGUCUUGCUUGGCAGGUCACCUUGUUCUAGCAGAUAGAAACUGAAUCAAUAUGGGAAGAGCCAGAAUUUGGACAAGGUUCACCAAACAUUCACACUGAUGCCAGGUGGGCCAAGAAAAAGGGAAUGUCCUGCCUCUGAGACCUGCUGCCAAAAAGGUAUGAAAACUCUACAAAGAUCUGUCAGAAAGAACGGCAACAGUCCUGAGGCAACCUUCUCUACUGGAAGAUGUGGGCUGUUGCCAGCACCAUUCUGGAUCAUCUACCAAAAAGCAUUCAGCUGCUUCUGCCUUCUGGGAACAAAUUCAAACUUCUGGUCUACUCUUAAGCACCCUUCACUCCUAAGGGGUUUUUUUCUUCAGGUUAAUGGAAUGGGGAAAUGGGGGAGGAAAGAGGUAAAUAUACAUUCUUAUAUAUUUCAUUUUCAAUUGAAUCGUAAUUUCACCAUCUUUUUCAUCAAAGUUGAAUACAUCCUUUUUAUUUCUAGAGUGGCACAAAAGGAUGACCAGGAUUUAUUAUCCAAACCAGAACACAUUUGAGGCUAACAAUGGGUACCAUUAUUAAUUAUUAGCCUAGGUAACAGGCAUACUCCAGGACUGAUAUGAACAAAUCAGGCUGCAUGGUCACACUACAUACAAAAGUGCACACUAACUAGGUGCAGACUUAUGGCAAAAAAGGCUUUUAAGUCCAACAAAGAGACAAGAAAAUGAGACAAGAGAAGUGUGAAUUCUGUGAGGGGACAUAAAAUGCUUAAUACCUUGGGCACAAUGCAAGCAGGAUAUUUUACAGAUAACAGAGUUACAGUCAGGUAGAACGACUCAGAGAAUAGGUUGGAGAACAAUGCCCAUUUUUGUUAUCUCAGUGGAUAGCAGAAACUUUUCUGGGAUAUUAUGUCUCAAGAACAAUGGUAGAAUGUUAAUUCAAUGGAUUGGAGUUAUAAUUAGGGCACUGAUUUUUCAUCUGGGGUUAAUUUAUCCACUCCCUCUUUACAACCACCCCUGCUCACCACCAGGCACAUUUGGCAAUGUCUUGAGAUAUUACUGGUUGUUAACACUCGGAGUUACUGCUGACAUCUAUGAGUAGAGGCCAAGGAUAUUAUAAUGCUAAACAUCAUAGAAUGCACAAGGCAGUCCCCCCACAAUACAAACAGGUUUUCAGCCCAACAUAUCAAUAGUGCUGAGGUUGAGAAACCCUAGGUUAGGGUUAGAAAACCACCUGGAUACAGCUUUCAGAAGGCAUUGAGCACAUCACCUGAGAAUAACCAGAGACUAACCAUAGUUUUCUCUUACAUGGCUUCUUUCCAAUAUUUUCAUACAUUGGGUACAGCCUCCAAAUGUGGAAGCUGAUGGCAGCUUCCUGAACCGAAUAGUGAAGAUAUUUUUCAGUCUUUUUUGUUUCCUAUUUGUUCUUGUAUAAUCCAUUUUUAUUGAGAAUACUUGGAAAUACCAGAUUUCCUUUACCUCCCUUACUUUAAUUAUAUAUAAAACAGAGAUAAUAAAGGUUACCUUGUUUUAUGUCUCCAUUUUGCUAAAUAAUACUAUCAUUCUUCUAAGUUCCCUCUCUGGCUUGGAAUUUUGGAGCUAUCUUUGAUUUCUCUAUUUUCCUUAUCUCCAUACCCACCUCAAUCACCAAUACCAUUGAUUGUUUUCCAAAAUAUUCUCUGAUUUCCAAAAUACACUGUAACUUUCUUCUUAGCCUAUUGACUUAAAGGUGGGAGGAGCCCAAAGUGUCCAGGUGGCAAUCUUAACUUUUAGUUUAAUGGAAUUGUUGUUGUGUCUCCUGGUGGCAGCGUUCGUCCCUCUGGAGCUAAGACCUCUAGGCCAGCAGAACGCAAUGUUGCAGGAACAGGAAGCAAAAAUUUUUCUACUGGAUCACUAGGGGUGAUGGUGAGUGGUGCCACUUCCACCCCUUGAUUCCUGGACCCAUGAAUCCUGGCUAUGGGAGAAACAGUACCGUAUAUUGGAGGCUGAUUCAGAGCAUACACAGCCUUCUGGAGAACUUUGCCCCGAGCCUGCAAAGUAUUGUCACCUGGCUGGCAUUGUAAUUGUGACUUCAAAAGGCCAUUCUGCCAUUCUAUCAAUCCAGCUGCUUCAGGAUGAU
ensembl:lincRNA